GCGGCCAUGGUGUAACGGUUAGCAUUAUCGCCUUCCAUCUCACAGUGGAGUGUAGCGAUAGAUUCGGGUUCGACUCCCGAUGGUCGCA